rnacentral:rRNA from 1 species
AUUGAACGCUGGCGGCAGGCCUAACACAUGCAAGUCGAACGAGUGGCGGACGGGUGAGUAAUGUCUGGGAAACUGCCUGAUGGAGGGGGAUAACUACUGGAAACGGUAUCUAAUACCGCAUACCAUCGUAUGUGCCCAGAUGGGAUUAGCUAGUAGGUGGGGUAACGGCACACCUAGGCGACGAUCCCUAGCUGGUCUGAGAGGGUGACUGGAAACACUUGAACUGGGACACGGUCCAGACUCCAAAGGGAGGCAUAAGGAGGGAAUAUUGAACAAGGGGAGCAAGCCUGAUACAGGCAGGCCGCGGGUAAGAAGAAGGCCUUCGGGUUGUAAAGUAAUUUCAGGGGGGAGGCGUUAACCGCAGGAGGAGCAACGGAUAACUCAGUGCCAGCAGCCGCGGUAAUAC